UCAUGGAUCAUUAUGAUAUGACCUGAAUACUUGAACUCCCAUUGAGAAGAUGCAGGAAAUGGAACAUGCAAGGAAUAUGAGUGGAGAGCUGAUUGUCUUUGUCUUCUCCUGGCGAUACAUGUUACCAUGACCCAUGUAUAUCAUCUUUGCUGUGAUUUGAGUCACACUUUGCCUUUCCAAAAGUGAAAGUUCAGAGAAUGAAGCAGAGGCUCCUGGGGUUUGGUUUCUCCAGCUGGUACUUAUUUCAUUCUGGCUCUGUGGACUGGUCAUUUGGUUCCUGGAACUGGAACAGAUCUUCCUGGAAGCAAUGAGCUAAGAGCCCAGCAGAAUCAUGUCCCAGCAAAGCUUCGCAAAGAUGUCAGUAUUAAUUGUCACCAUCCUCCAGGGAGAAAGCAACAGCCCACAAUUGCCUGCAUUUUCUUUCCUCUUCAAAACCACUUCUGCUCCAAAGACCAUGAACCUGAACUGAAGAAACGACUCCUUCCUGCUGGUGUGAGAUAAUUCAGUCUCCAUGAUGUCUUAAUCCUGGGCCUCCCUUAAUUGACUUCUAACUGUGCUGAACUGUGGCUGCUAGGAGUUGCAAUGUGGAUCGCAAUUUACAAGGCACUGGAAUCGUUUCUUGUCUUCAAAUUAGUCCUGAGCUGUACUGGAGAAAGAAAAAAAAGGGGCCUUUACCCUUCUUGCUGUCUUGUCACCACAAGUGAGACUUUCUUACAGUCUCAGAAUGGAUGGUUGCCUUUUAACAAUUUAGUUAGGGACAGAAAGGAAAAAGAGUUAGGGUUGCCAAUACUUCGUCAAUUUUGUCUUAAUAAAGUUGCCUCACAUGGC
rnacentral:lncRNA from 1 species